rnacentral:rRNA from 1 species
CCCCGUACACAAAAAUGCACAUGCUGUGAGCUCGAUGAGUAGGGCGGGACACGUGGUAUCCUGUCUGAAUAUGGGGGGACCAUCCUCCAAGGCUAAAUACUCCUGACUGACCGAUAGUGAACCAGUACCGUGAGGGAAAGGCGAAAAGAACCCCGGCGAGGGGAGUGAAAAAGAACCUGAAACCGUGUACGUACAAGCAGUGGGAGCACAGAGCAAUCUGUGUGACUGCGUACCUUUUGUAUAAUGGGUCAGCGACUUAUAUUCUGUAGCAAGGUUAACCGAAUAGGGGAGCCGAAGGGAAACCGAGUCUUAACUGGGCGUUAAGUUGCAGGGUAUAGACCCGAAACCCGGUGAUCUAGCCAUGGGCAGGUUGAAGGUUGGGUAACACUAACUGGAGGACCGAACCGACUAAUGUUGAAAAAUUAGCGGAUGACUUGUGGCUGGGGGUGAAAGGCCAAUCAAACCGGGAGAUAGCUGGUUCUCCCCGAAAGCUAUUUAGGUAGCGCCUCGUGAAUUCAUCUCCGGGGGUAGAGCACUGUUUCGGCAAGGGGGUCAUCCCGACUUACCAACCCGAUGCAAACUGCGAAUACCGGAGAAUGUUAUCACGGGAGACACACGGCGGGUGCUAACGUCC